GUCCUGUUACUGCUCCUCUGCUUAGCCAAAUGGAACUUGUCCGGCAACAGCUGGACACCUGCCAGUCUUAGCAACCCUGUUGGAGCUCGCAGCAUCACUUUCCAUUGCUUCUGUGCUCCACAGGCCGUUAAAAGCGUAUUGCGAGGUAUUGCAGUUUACGUGUGCCCGGUUAAGUGGAUUUAUGGAUUAUAUUAUCUAGUUUUAACUAAACUAGCCCUCACAAAAUGGACAAGGGGCUUAAAAAGAUUCCUGCAAAGAAACCGCAGAUUGAAGAUAAUACUAAUAAUGCGAGCACAAGCGAACAACAAGAAAAUGGCAGAGCUGACAGUUCUCCUACUCCUAGUACAAGCUCUUCGUCAGCCACAUUACGAGAUUCUGUUUCAAUAAUGAAAUACACGAAGAACUACGUUUUUUGUGAGCCACUAAAGGAAAGAUGUACCGGAGAAGAUAUAUUCUCA